rnacentral:rRNA from 1 species
AUAUUUGUCAAUGGACGCGAGUCUGAACCAGCCAAGUAGCGUGAAGGAUGACUGCCCUAUGGGUUGUAAACUUCUUUUAUAUGGGAAUAAAGUUUUCAACGUGUGGAAUUUUGUAUGUAUCAUAUGACUAAGGAUCGGCUAACUCCGUGCCAGCAGCCGAGGUAAUACGGAGGAUCCGAGCGUUAUCCGGAUUUAUUGGGUUUAAAGGGAGCGUAGGUGGACAGUUGAGUCAGUUGUGAAAGUUUGCGGCUCAACCGUAAAAUUGCAGUUGAAACUGGCAGUCUUGAGUACAGUAGAGGUGGGCGGAAUUCGUGGUGUAGCGGUGAAAUGCUUAGAUAUCACGAAGAACUCCGAUUGCGAAGGCAGCUCACUGGACUGUUGACUGACACUGAGGCUCGAAAGUGUGGGUAUCAAACAG